AUUGAACGCUGGCGGCAGGCCUAACACAUGCAAGUCGAGCGGUAGCACAGAGAGCUUGCUCUCGGGUGACGAGCGGCGGACGGGUGAGUAAUGUCUGGGAAACUGCCUGAUGGAGGGGGAUAACAACUGGAAACGGUAGCUAAUACCGCAUAACGUCGCAAGACCAAAGUGGGGGACCUUCGGGCCUCAUGCCAUCAGAUGUGCCCAGAUGGGAUUAGCUAGUAGGUGGGGUAAUGGCUCACCUAGGCGACGAUCCCUAGCUGGUCUGAGAGGAUGACCAGCCACACUGGAACUGAGACACGGUCCAGACUCCUACGGGAGGCAGCAGUGGGGAAUAUUGCACAAUGGGCGCAAGCCUGAUGCAGCCAUGCCGCGUGUAUGAAGAAGGCCUUCGGGUUGUAAAGUACUUUCAGCGAGGAGGAAGGCAUUAGGGUUAAUAACCUUAGUGAUUGACGUUACUCGCAGAAGAAGCACCGGCUAACUCCGUGCCAGCAGCCGCGGUAAUACGGAGGGUGCAAGCAUUAAUCGGAAUUACUGGGCGUAAAGCGCACGCAGGCGGUCUGUUAAGUCAGAUGUGAAAUCCCCGGGCUCAACCUGGGAACUGCAUUUGAAACUGGCAGGCUUGAGUCUUGUAGAGGGGGGUAGAAUUCCAGGUGUAGCGGUGAAAUGCGUAGAGAUCUGGAGGAAUACCGGUGGCGAAGGCGGCCCCCUGGACAAAGACUGACGCUCAGGUGCGAAAGCGU
rnacentral:rRNA from 1 species